AGCAGCCGCGGUAAUUCCAGCUCCAAUAGCGUAUAUUAAAGUUGUUGCAGUUAAAAAGCUCGUAGUUGAGUUUCGGGAUCAAUAUAACGGUCACGCCGUUGGUAUGCACUGUUAUAAUUGGUUUCUCACCUUCUAAAGAACCGUAAUGCCAUUAAUUUGGUGUCACGGGGAAUUAGGACUGUUACCUUGAAAAAAUUAGAGUGUUUAAAGCAGGCUCACGCUUGAAUACAUUAGCAUGGAAUAAUGAAAUAGGACAUCCGAUUCUAUUUUGUUGGUUUCUAGGAUCGAUGUAAUGAUUAAUAGGGAUAGUUGGGGGCAUUAGUAUUCAAUUGUCAGAGGUGAAAUUCUUGGAUUUAUUGAAGACUAACUACUGCGAAAGCAUUUGCCAAGGAUGUUUUCAUUAAUCAAGAACGAAAGUUAGGGGAUCGAAGACGAUCAGAUACCGUCGUAGUCUUAACCAUAAACUAUGCCGACUAGGGAUCGGAUGAUGUUAAUUUUUUAAUGACUCAUUCGGCGCCUU
rnacentral:rRNA from 1 species